CCUACGGGUGGCAGCAGUAGGGAAUCUUCCACAAUGGGCGAAAGCCUGAUGGAGCAACGCCGCGUGGGUGAAGAAGGUCCUCCGAUCGGAAAACCCCGUUUUUAGAGGAGCAAAUGCGUGAGAGUAACUGUUCACGUGUCGACGGUAUCUAACCAGAAAGCCACGGCUAACUACGUCCCAGCAGCCGCGGUAAUACGUAGGUGGCGAGCGUUAACCGGAUUUAUUGGGCGUAAGGGGAACGCAGGCGGUCUUUUAAGUCUGAUGUGAAAGGCUUCGGCUUAACCGGAGUAGUGCAUUGGAAACUGGGAGACUUGAGUGCAGAAGAGGAGGGCGGAAUUCAAGGUGUAGCGGUGAAAUGCGUAGAUAUAGGGAAGAACACCAGUGGCGAAAGCGGCUCUCUGGUCUGUAACUGACGCUGAGGUUCGAAAGCGUGGGUAGCAAACAGGAUUAGAUACCCCAGUAGUC
rnacentral:rRNA from 1 species